CCUACGGGUGGCAGCAGUGGGGAAUAUUGGGCAAUGGGCGCAAGCCUGACCCAGCAACGCCGCGUGAGGGAAGAAGGCUUUCGGUUUGUAAACUUCUUUUCUCAGGGACGAAGAAAGUGACGGUACCUUAGGAAUAAGCCACUGCGAACUACGUGCCAGCAGCCGCGGUAAUACGGAGGUGGCAAGCGGUAUCCGGAUUUAUUGGGUGUAAAGGGCGUGUAGGCGGGAGCGCAAGUCAGAUGUGAAAACUCAGGGCUCAACCCUGAGACUGCAUUUGAAACUGUGUUUCUUGAGUGCUGGAGAGGCAAUCGGAAUUCCGAGUGUAGCGGUGAAAUGCGUAGAUAUACGGAGGAACACCAGUGGCGAAGGCGGAUUGCUGGACAGUAACUGACGCUGAGGCGCGAAAGCGUGGGGAGCAAACAGGAUUAGAUACCCGUGUAGUC
rnacentral:rRNA from 1 species